rnacentral:rRNA from 1 species
ACCGAGGUUAAGUGGUCGCUGUGUUACCUCUUGUUGAGGCACACGUUAAAGAUCGUUCCGCGUUGUGAGUCUAACACUUUGUAAACUUUUACAACCGGCAGCGCUGGAUCCCUUGGCACGUCAUUCGAUGAAGACCGUUGCAAAUUGCGAUAAAGUGAUGUGAUGCGCAAGUCCACCACUUAUACGUGAAUCAUCGAGUUGUUGAACGCAUUGCACCGCGCCCUAAUCCGGCUGCGGUAUGCCCCUUUGAGCGUCAUUUAUUCCUUCGGGAGUCUUUCCUUGCGAAAGACCCGAGUUCGGAGUCCUCGGUCUUUGGAUCGUGUUCUCUCAGAUGCGUCGCGCCGAUCGCCUGAUGGGUACUCUAAUGCCUGAGCGUGGAGUCCCUCUGGAGUUGAGACGUGCUUGACCGGCCGUUGGGCUCGUGUCACCAAGUCCGCGUCCUUUGGGACGGCGGUACUACAACGCAUGACCUCAUUGGGGUAGGACAACCCGCUAGACUUAAGCAUAUUAAUCAGCGGAGGAAAAGAAACUAACCAGGAUUCCCCUAGUAACUGCGAGUGAAGAGGGAUCGGCUCAAU